GAUUUCAACUAAAAAAGUCAUCAACAACAAAGUUGUAUAACUCACCAAGAUCUAUAACUUUUAUGUUUGUCAUUUCUUCAUCCGACAAAGUGUUAGUAACAUUGUUCAUAAAAUUUACAUAUCUGUGUUAUAGUUUAUAAAACUAGAUGAGAGAUAUGAAUUUUGUGAACAAUGUUACUAUCACUUUGUCGGAUGAAGAAAUGACCAAAAUAAAAGUUAUAGAUCUUGAUGAGUUAUACAAUUUUGUUGUUGAUGACUUUUACAGUUGAAAUC
rnacentral:pre_miRNA from 1 species